UGCUUUUAGUUUUGUACUAGAACAAAAGCAGCUUUUGCCCUAAAACACUUGUGGCUUUUAGGCCCUUUGGUUGUCUUUUGGAUUUUGCAAAAGAAAAAGCAGGUUGAAAAGCCCAACCAAACACACCCUCUUGCCUUCUUCAGUUUUGGUGUUUUAUCAUGCUCCCUGGUCGGAUCGGUCUUCCCACCGUGUUCUACCUCCUCUGGUUCUGGAAGCUAUGUAAGGGGAUGGCGAAAACACUAUGCAAAGUGAAGCAAAGUUCAUGUGUGUAACAGGAUUAUGUUGUAGUAACAAGACUGUUUGCUAAAUAUUUUGAACACUAAAUUGUGAUUUUUUAGUUUUCUGCCUCCUUCCUAAUCUAUCAGGAGCAUGUGAUCACUUGCUGGAAUUUUAGAGAUGUUCAGUAAGGACUAAGAAUUAAUAUCGAGCUGUUAGAAGCCAAGCAGUAGCCAUCCUCCAAGUUAAACAUCAUUUCCAUGCACAUCUUGAAUAAUGUUGUCUUAGACAUUUCUUUUAUGUAAUCUGCUCGGGCC
rnacentral:lncRNA from 1 species